rnacentral:rRNA from 1 species
CCUACGGGAGGCAGCAGUAGGGAAUCUUCCACAAUGGACGAAAGUCUGAUGGAGCAACGCCGCGUGAACGAUGAAGGCUUUCGGGUCGUAAAGUUCUGUUGUAAGGGAAGAACAAGUGCCGCAGGCAAUGGCGGCACCUUGACGGUACCUUGCGAGAAAGCCACGGCUAACUACGUGCCAGCAGCCGCGGUAAUACGUAGGUGGCAAGCGUUGUCCGGAAUUAUUGGGCGUAAAGCGCGCGCAGGCGGCCUCUUAAGUCUGAUGUGAAAGCCCCCGGCUCAACCGGGGAGGGCCAUUGGAAACUGGGAGGCUUGAGUAUAGGAGAGAAGAGUGGAAUUCCACGUGUAGCGGUGAAAUGCGUAGAGAUGUGGAGGAACACCAGUGGCGAAGGCGACUCUUUGGCCUAUAACUGACGCUGAGGCGCGAAAGCGUGGGGAGCAAACAGGAUUAGAUACCCUGGUAGUCCACGCCGUAAA